rnacentral:rRNA from 1 species
AAACGAUGGGCACUAGAUAUUCGGGGAAUUCGAUUCUUCGGUGUUCGCAGUUAACGCGAUAAGUGCCCCGCCUGGGAGUACGCCCGCAGGGUGAAACUCAAAGGAAUUGACGGGGGCCCGCACAAGCGGUGGAGCAUGCGCUUUAAUUCGAUGCAACGCGAAGAACCUUACCUGGGUUUGACAUGGGAGUGAAACUUCCCAGAGAUGGGAAGCCUUCCUUCGGGAACACUCCACACAGGUGCUGCAUGGUUGUCGUCAGCUCGUGUCGUGAGAUGUUGGGUUAAGUCCCGCAACGAGCGCAACCCUCGCCCUUAGUUGCCAUCAGGUAAUGCUGGGAACUCUAAGGGGACCGCCUGGAACAACCAGGAGGAAGGUGGGGAUGAUGUCAAAUCAUCAUGGCUCUUACGUCCAGGGCUAGACGCGUGCUACAAUGGUCGGUACAGAAGGAUGCCAAGUCGUGAGACUGAGCUAAUCCAUGAAAACCGGCCUCAGUUCGGAUUGGAGUCUGCAAUUCGACUCCAUGAAGGUGGAAUCGCUAGUAAUCGCGGAUCAGCAUGCCGCGGUGAAUAUGUUCCCGGGCCUUGUACACACCGCCCGUCAAGCCACGAAAGAUGGGAGUACCCGAAGUCGCUUGCCCAACCCGCAAGGGAGGGUGGUGCCGAAGGUAAGACCAUUGAUUGGGGCUAAGUCGUAACAAGGUAACCAAGGGCGAA